ACACAUUGCCUUAACAACUGGAAAUCCCCGUACAAUCCACUUACUUUCGAUUUCCCUCAAGACUUCAAGGGACAGUUACGAUCAGCAAGUUUGAACAAAUAACCAUCUACAACGCCAUGCAUACCUCGAUAUCCAGUCAAAUCUAAUUGGUCUCACCGUUGUGUUACACGAGUUUGAAGAAGUACAGGUUGAGUUUAGCAAGAUGUGGAACCUUUCAGUGGAUAUGGAAGCCGCGCCAAGAGAAUCAAGGAUGCAGAACAAGGAAGCCGAUAUUGGUGUCAGAAGAGCGUUGAACAAAAAGCGUUAUCAAAACCUUCACUCAAUUAUGCAGGCAGAGCGGGCGAACAGACAGACAGGCAAAUAUAUAGAUAGACAGCCUAGACACAAGGAGUGACUGAUAUACUUUCUGACUGGCUAACUGAAACAACGACUUGCAGGCGUGCGAACCGACGGGUCGGUCUCCGACUCACAAUCAGGCAGCAUGGGCAUCCACAUUUACAUAAUGACACAAUAUCGGUUAAAAAAAAACAUUCAAACAACAUACAUCCUUCAUUUGGAAAUAUAUUCUGUCAUCAAAUGGAGCAAAUCACAAUUUUAAAUAAGACUGCAACCUAUUAAUUUUGAAUCAUAUCUGAUUUAUAUCUAUCAGCGCGGUAAUGGAUUUAUCAGUUCUCGUAUACAUGUUUGUCGAUUUAAUAUACUUACAUACUUAAAAAUAUUUUAUAUUAAGUACUAUCAAUACUUUUGGUUUUUGAUGAAUUUCAUCUGCUGCAUGUUUGAUACAAACGAUAAAAAAAAUGUACUAGUAAAGAGUUAUCAACAUGUA